GACAAUUUCAACUUCUGGUUCGCCAACCACACAACCUAUAGCUUGUACCGUAACACAUAGUCAUAUGCUUCCCAUUUUACAAUGACGGAGAAAACCUUCGAAUUGUCUUCCGUUACAUACUAUUACGGGAGGUGUAUCGUCGAGAAUAAGCAUCGUUCUACAAAUUUUAUAACUUAGACUAACCUUACAAUCCCUACUAUCCAAACUGAAAUCCUGAUAUACCAUUGCAACAAGAUCUCCAUACCCUUUAAUUCGAUUCGAACUUAGAACCCUACAUCCGCCUCGUUCAUCAACACUAAAUACCCACCGCCUGUUGUUGAAAUUCUACUUCCCACACACUAAUACUAUCUCUUCCAUCGCCAAACAGAACAGAUAAUUCAAUUGUUUUCUACAGUUUACGACCUCUACUUGCCCGAUCCACAGAAGAUCCUCUUAUUCGGAUAAGGGUAUAAUAGUAUCUUCCAUUCUUAGAACAUAUGCUUAAUCUAGAAAAAUGACAUGUCUAAAAAAUCAUUAAACUCGUAAAUCUAUCACCACGCCAUUCAUAACUCAAAAAUUUUGAGUGCUAUUCUAGUAAUUAAAUAAAAUAUAACUCUACCAUCACAUAACAACAAUAUGUAUGUCGUCACAUGAAAUUUGACUUUAACUCUACUGUCAAGUACAUAUGUCAAUCACCAUUAUCUCAUAGAUUUAAGUACAUUAAAGUCUGUCAGUCCGUAUAUCUCUAUCGUAACUAUAGAUAACUCGAACAAAUAUGUUU